CGGGAAAGUUGCAAUGUUUAAAAUGCAAUCCUAAGUGUACAACAUAAUGUUGGGAAAUGCAACUUUUGUGAAGUGAGUGUGGAUGGUUGUCUGGAAGCUCAUCAGCCUAGUAUUCCCACUGUCGUAUUUUGGGUAUAAAGGGUUAUUGUUCUGAAGUAUUUGUGCGUUUUUCUGCCCCAGUAAUCUUUAUAUUUCUGUGUUUUCAUUUUUUGUUUUGAUCCUUGUGUUUUUGUGUUUUUUUAUUUAGAACAAAUGUAAAUCUGUGCACAUACAGUGGAAAAUUAGACAUUGAAUAAACUUUAAAAAGUUAAA